AUCUGCAACAGACACCGGACUUGAGAGCAAAGACAAUCAUUUUGAUGUCAACAAGGUCGGAGGCAGAGCUUUUUAUCAUCACGCCCAUGCUUUGGCGAUUUCACUGAGCGGCGUUUUGCUUUGAAGGCUGCUCUGUCAUGAAGAGAGUCGGUGAUGAACGAGACACAGACGUAGGUGUAGGUGGGAUCCAGCGGAGGUGGCUGGGCAUCAUUAUCUGCCCGGGAUCAUCCGUACGCCGGGAGAGGCGACACAUAUCCGGAAAAGCUUUGGGGAAGAGACGAGGCUCGCUGACCACAAGAUCAGGAAGAUGGGAGACAUGAAGUCGGAUGGGGUCCUGUGACUUGCCGAUGCCGAUGAGUCAGCGUCACUUCGC